rnacentral:rRNA from 1 species
UACGUAGGGUGCAAGCGUUGUCCGGAAUUAUUGGGCGUAAAGAGCUCGUAGGCGGUGUGUCACGUCGGCCGUGAAAACCUGCAGCUUAACUGUGGGCGUGCGGUCGAUACGGGCAUCACUGGAGUUCGGCAGGGGAGACUGGAAUUCCUGGUGUAGCGGUGAAAUGCGCAGAUAUCAGGAGGAACACCGGUGGCGAAGGCGGAUCUCUGGGCCUUACCUGACGCUGGAGGAGCGAAAGCAUGGGGGAGCAAACGGG